GUGAAGAGGCCAUUUCCGUUGUGGGGAAUGUUGUUUGGAUCGAGGAUAUCAUAAAGGCAUACACAUGCAUUUAUAUGUUAUGAUGCAUUAUAUGAUUGUGUAAUGUACUUAUGUACAUAUAUAUAGAUGGUAAUGGUAUCGUCGGACCAGGCUUCAUCCCCCUCAACAUGUUAAGUGCCUUCAAUCAC
rnacentral:pre_miRNA from 1 species